rnacentral:rRNA from 1 species
AUUGAACGCUGGCGGCAGGCCUAACACAUGCAAGUCGAGCGGUUGAAGGGAGCUUGCUCCUGGAUUCAGCGGCGGACGGGUGUGUAAUGCCUAGGAAUCUGCCUGGUCGUGCGUGGUAACGUCCGGAAACGGGCGCUAAUACCGCUUACGUCCUGCGGGUGUACGUGGGGGAUCUUCGGACCUCACGCUAUCAGAUGAGCCUAGGUCGGAUUAGCUAGUUGGUGGGGUAAAGGCCUACCAGGGCGACGAUCCGUAACUGGUCUGAGAGGAUGAUCAGUCACACUGGAACUGAGACACGGUCCAGACUCCUACGGGAGGCAGCAGGGGGGAAUAUUGGACAAUGGGCGAAAGCCUGAUCCAGCCAUGCCGCGUGUGUGAAGAAGGUCUUCGGAUUUUAAAGCACUUUAAGUUGGGAGGAAGGGCAGUAAGUUAAUACCUUGCUGUUUUGACGUUACCAACAGAAGAAGCACCGGCUAACUUCGUG